AUGGGUGACGGACCCCAGAUGCUCAGCCACAGAGUUACUGGAGUAUGUAACAUUAGGACAGCAAGCAGCAAACAUGGCACCUGCUGUGCCCAAAAAGACUCCCCGUGGGCUUCUGUACUUCCAAGAUCUCUGUUCUUGCAUGUUAUCUUCUACAUGGACUUGGAGCUGCUGAUGCCAAGACCUAUCCAAGUUAUACUAUGUUCUCUGUGUUUUGUAAGUUUUAUUCAUUCUUGCUUCACUGUGCAACUGCAAUAUACAGGCAAGAAAGUUUCUUUGCAUUUUACUGAUGUAUCUUCCUUGGUAAGUUUUUGAAAAUUAAAACAUGGAACUUAUCACUGGACUUUUAGCUUAGGCACAGCAUACUCUAAUCUUAACCUGUUUCCUGAUCUGUGUUAAUUCUGUUCCAGUUUCAUUUAACAUAUGUGGAUAUACAGAAAUACAUUUAAUAAACGAUAUAUUUUACAAAAUUAAACUAUCA
rnacentral:lncRNA from 1 species